rnacentral:rRNA from 1 species
ACAGCGUUGCUCUCACCACAAUAUCUUUGAGUCUUUUAUCAGACAAGAAGACUUGCGGUCGGGAAGCGGAUAUUGGCCCCCCGUACCUUUGUAGGCGCGGUCGGCCUAAAAUUUGGCUCUCGACGAUGAGCGUCACGAUCAGUGGUGGUUGAAUAACCCCUUUGUCAUAGACCGGUAUCGUGUUGUUUUGUCGUCUAAUUGGGCCAUACGGACCCUUGUGUGUUGUAUAUACGACAUUCACUCU